rnacentral:rRNA from 1 species
CCUACGGGUGGCAGCAGUGGGGAAUAUUGCACAAUGGGGGAAACCCUGAUGCAGCGACGCCGCGUUAGUGAAGAAGUAUUUCGGUAUGUAAAGCUCUAUCAGCAGGGAAGAAGCAAGACGGUACCUGACUAAGAAGCCCCGGCUAACUACGUGCCAGCAGCCGCGGUAGUACGUAGGUGGCAAGCGUUAUCCGGAUUUACUGGGUGUAAAGGGAGCGUAGACGGUGUGGCAAGGCUGAAGUGAAGGCCCAGGGCGUAACCCUGGGACUGUUUUGGAAACUGUUAGACUAGAGUGCUGGAGAGGUAAGUGGAAUUCCUAGUGUAGCGGUGAAAUGCGUAGAUAUUAGGAGGAACACCAGUGGCGAAGGCGGCCUGCUGGACUGCGACUGACGUUGAGGCCCGAAAGCGUGGGGAGCAAACAGGAUUAGAUACCCGUGUAGUC